GAAUGGGGCUUUUGGGGGGCUCGCAGAAGCUUCUCCCCGACCCCAUCUCAAAGGACCAGGGCAGAAGCAUACAUGCCUCCUCUCAAUAAGGAUUGGGGUGGGUGGGAUGCUCAGCAAACGUCAUCACCUCCGGGCUCUGCAGCAAUCAUGGUAAUUCCACGGACCUAGCAGACGUGGACGUUAUUUUCUAAGCCAUUAGAAAAAUUUCAAAUCACAGACUUCAGCCAUGGAAUAUCACUGCACACCCAGGGGGACGGCUGCCUCAGGCAUAGCUUAAUCUCCGCCCCCCCCUCCAAAGUUAGCUAUUGUAUGAUUGAGGAAAAGAAUAUCUGAAUGAGCAUCCACCCAAACCUGUGGAUACUCACACGUUCCUCUGGGGGAAAAAGCAAUUUCUUGGGUUUUCCUCAAUAUGGAAGAAAGCUAAGCAAGGCCCAGAAAGGAACAGUUCUCCCCAUUGCCAUCAUUUCUAUUCUGCGUGUUGCUGCCUCAGUGAAGAUCAAACAGCCUGUCCAUUUUUUCAGUUUUUAAAUGGUUAGAAAGAAAUUUACCGGCAACUGGAUUCCUGGUUCUGUGUUCUUCAAGUACCUUCAGUUGUUUAAAUCAAAAACAACAGAGAAGGAAGUACCUGG
rnacentral:lncRNA from 1 species